UACGUAGGGGGCAAGCGUUGUCCGGAAUCAUUGGGCGUAAAGAGCGCGUAGGCGGCCCUGUAAGUCCGCUGUGAAAGUCAAGGGCUCAACCCUUGAAUGCCGGUGGAUACUGCAGGGCUAGAGUCCGGAAGAGGCGAGUGGAAUUUCUGGUGUAGCGGUGAAAUGCGCAGAUAUCGGGAAGAACACCCGUGGCGAAGGCGGCUCUCUGGGACGGUACUGACGCUGAGACGCGAAAGCGUGGGGAGCGAACAGG
rnacentral:rRNA from 1 species